AUGGGCGGCGGCACCACUGUCCCUCAAUUUACAGCAAAAUCAUGGCGGACAGCGCCGCCGUGGACCACCAUCAGCCUCGCCGGUUGGCCUGUUGCAUCUCGCUGGCCGCCAUCUCUACCAUCCCCACGGUCGACGUCCGCCCCCGACUCCCGUAGCAGUACCCCGUACCCCGUGCCCCGUUUUGGUGAUCAGCGGAGGAACGGGAUUACACGGGUAGAGGAGGAUGUGUUGGUGGAGAUGGGGGCAAAUGAGUGGUGGAGCUCACUGGGGAAGAAGAUAAGGCAUGGAGGCAGGCGGUGCGUAGGCCCAGUGUGGAAAAGGUCAAAAGAAAAAGGUGCGGCUAUGCGAGCGAGCGGCGUGACCGGCCGAAGUUUCGGCCGGCGCGCCGAUUACAAGCGUUUUCCAUAUCCGAAAGCCAACAUGCAAGAUAGGUCAAAGAAAAUGCAUCGGCUGUUUGGAGGGGUAUUGAGCAUGGUUUGGACCAUAGAACAAUGGCUAGUUUGGACAGUGGGGGCGGAUCUCAGAGAACAGGCAAGAUCCAUGGAUUUUCGCCCUAUAACACCCAAGCAUGGGGUGUCCAGUAACAACCCCGAGCGUAAAUGUAGGUUUAACCGGGUCUCCGGCUCUUUGGAUGAACAUGGUGCUUGGAACAUGCAACGGUUACAUGAUAUCUUUUGGUCGAGGGAUGUUCUGGAGAUUUUCAAGAUCCGUAUCUCUCCGCGCAACUGGCAGGAUCAAUUUUUUUUUGCUUGGUUCCCUAAAAAGAAUGGACGUUUCUCGGUGAAGAGUGCCUACCGGCUAGCUACAUACAACCAUAAUGAUGAGUUGCAGGUGGGGCAUCCAGUAACAAACCCUGAUGGAGCCCGGCCUAUGUCGCACUGCAUUUGGAAUGCCUCGGUCCCGCAGAAGCAGAAGAAGGUUAUGAUGUGGGAGGUUGUAGAGGCUGGGUGCCCUUUACGUAUCAAUUUAAAAGUACCUUUCACCCUGAUUUCCCGUGAUCAUGCUACAAAACUGUGGGAGUUGAUCAGGGUUAUUUGGCCGCACCCUGAUAGAAGUGUGCUAAUAGAUACGGGCAAGGAUUUGCUGAAUAUGUUUGCGGGGUGUAUUGAUGCGGAACAAUAUAGAUUUAUCAUACUUACCUGCGCAUUUGACAGCGCUCGGACUUGCUACAUGAAAUUGCUUAUACAUGCAAGGUAUUAUAGUAUGGAUGAAAUUCUGAAGGGUAAGAUGCCAAUGUUGGAUGACUACCGAGGCCGAUGGGUAUGGCGUUGGCCUCUCAAUACUCACAAGGCCACACUAUUGUUCAAUCGGGCUCUUAUAUCUGAGGCAUUGGCAAGCUGGCUCGAUCAGCAUACGGGCACCUAG
rnacentral:rRNA from 1 species